AUAUGGCCUGGGGGCUCUGACUGAAGAAAGGAAUGCAGCACUCAUGAUCCUGUUGAAUAGAGAUGACUUCACAUCUAUCCUUGGAGGUUGGAUUCCUUUAUAGUCACGUAUUUCUGGAUCCACCAACUAGGCCUGUCUGCAGCAGCAAUGGAGGUCACAAGUUGUCCUGUGGUUUCUCACACAGCUCCUGGGAAGUGACCUGAGCAGAAGAAAGAGCCCAGAUAAAAGAAGGGGAAGAGAAACACAGAAGAGCUCCUCAUAGCUCUCUUUGGAGUGAUUUUUAAAAAAAAAGUCUGCACUUGAAACAGUUAUUACAGUUAUCCAACCAUCUCAAUAUGAUAAAAAUCAUUGAAAUACAGAAUUUUAUGUGGUCGCUUUUAUAAUAUGCAAAUUAAAUCUGAAUU
rnacentral:lncRNA from 1 species